rnacentral:rRNA from 1 species
UACAGAGGUCUCAAGCGUUGUUCGGAUUCAUUGGGCGUAAAGGGUGCGUAGGCGGCGCGGUAAGUCGGGUGUGAAAUCUCGGAGCUUAACUCCGAAACUGCAUUCGAUACUGCCGUGCUCGAGGACUGGAGAGGAGACUGGAAUUUACGGUGUAGCGGUGAAAUGCGUAGAUAUCGUAAGGAGGACCAGUGGCGAAGGCGGGUCUCUGGACAGUUCCUGACGCUGAGGCACGAAGGCCAGGGGAGCAAACGGG